rnacentral:tRNA from 1 species
UGCCCCAGUGGCGGAAUUGGCAGACGCGCAACGUUCAGGUCGUUGUAUGGGUUUCCAUGUACAGGUUCGAAUCCUGUUUGGGGCAU